AUCAGGUCUACAGUAUAUAGUGGGGUUGUUUUAUCAGGUCUACAGUAUAUAGUGGGGUUGUUUUAUCAGGUCUACAGUAUAUAGUGGGGGUUGUUUUAUCAGGUCUACAGUAUAUAGUGGGGUUGUUUUAUCAGGUCUACAGUAUAUAGUGGGGUUGUUUUAUCAGGUCUACAGUAUAUAGUAGGGGUUGUUUUAUCAGGUCUACAGUAUAUAGUGGGGGUUGUUUUAUCAGGUCUACAGUAUAUAGUAGGGGUUGUUUUAUCAGGUCUACAGUAUAUAGUGGGGGUUGUUUUAUCAGGUCUACAGUAUAUAGUGGGGGUUGUUUUAUCAGGUCUACAGUAUAUAGUAGGGGUUGUUUUAUCAGGUCUACAGUAUAUAGUGGGGUUGUUUUAUCAGGUCUACAGUAUAUAGUGGGGUUGUUUUAUCAGGUCUACAGUAUAUAGUGGGGGUUGUUUUAUCAGGUCUACAGUAUAUAGUGGGGUUGUUUUAUCAGGUCUACAGUAUAUAGUGGGGUUGUUUUAUCAGGUCUACAGUAUAUAGUGGGGUUGUUUUAUCAGGUCUACAGUAUAUAGUGGGGGUUGUUUUAUCAGGUCUACAGUAUAUAGUGGGGGUUGUUUUAUCAGGUCUACAGUAUAUAGUGGGGUUGUUUUAUCAGGUCUACAGUAUAUAGUGGGGGUUGUUUUAUCAGGUCUACAGUAUAUAGUGGGGUUGUUUUAUCAGGUCUACAGUAUAUAGUGGGGUUGUUUUAUCAGGUCUACAGUAUAUAGUGGGGGUUGUUUUAUCAGGUCUACAGUAUAUAGUGGGGUUGUUUUAUCAGGUGUACAGUAUAUAGUGGGGGUUGUUUUAUCAGGUCUACAGUAUAUAGUGGGGGUUGUUUUAUCAGGUCUACAGUAUAUAGUGAAUGAACUUCCUUUGUUUGUUGAAGAUAGAAAUAGAAUUCUAUAAAAAUGACGUUUGAGAG